rnacentral:rRNA from 1 species
GUGGGGAAUAUUGCGCAAUGGGGGAAACCCUGACGCAGCGACGCCGUGUGAGGGAAGAAGGCUUUCGGGUCGUAAACCUCUGUCAGAAAGGAAGAACCUCCCAAGUCCGAAUAGGGCUUGGGACUGACGGUACUUUCAAAGGAAGCACCGGCUAACUCCGUGCCAGCAGCCGCGGUAAUACGGAGGGUGCAAGCGUUAAUCGGAAUCACUGGGCGUAAAGCGCGCGUAGGCCGCUUUGUAAGUCGGACGUGAAAGCCCUCUGCUCAACCGGGGGACUGCGUUCGAUACUGCGAGGCUUGAGUCCUGGAGAGGGUGGCGGAAUUCCGGGUGUAGGAGUGAAAUCCGUAGAUAUCCGGAGGAACACCGGUGGCGAAGGCGGCCAACUGGACAGGUACUGACGCUGAGGCGCGAAAGCGUGGGGAGCAAACAGGAUUAGAAACCCCUGUAGUCC